rnacentral:sRNA from 1 species
CGGGGCGGGGACCCCCUGUGGCCUCGGCCAUCUUUGCUCCCACCUCCUACAUUGCAUCCCUUUCAAGUCGGCCUUGGCCCUGGGCCUCACGCAGGCCCUCUCCACCCUCUCUCGUCUCCCCAGGGACCCCCACAGAAGAGACGUGGCCCGGCGUGACCGCCUUCUCCGAGUUCCGCACCUACAGCUUCCCCCGCUACCUUCCGCAGCCGCUCAUCAGCCACGCGCCCAGGUUGGAUACGGAUGGCAUCCAACUCCUGAGCAGCCUGCUCCUGUAUGAAUCCAAGAGUCGCAUGUCAGCAGAAGCUGCCCUGAGUCACCCCUACUUCCGGUCUCUGGGAGAGCGUGUGCACCAGCUUGAAGACACUGCCUCCAUCUUCUCCCUGAAGGAGAUCCAGCUCCAGAAGGACCCAGGCUACCGAGGCUUGGCCUUCCAGCAGCCAGGACGAGGCAAGAACAGGCGGCAGAGCAUCUUCUGAGCUGCGCCCACCUUGCUGUGGCCAAGGGACGAGAGAUCACGUGGAGCACAAAUUCGGGUAGGAUGGAGCCUGUGUGGCCCUCGGAGGACUGAAGAACGAGGGCUGACAGCCAGCCCGGAAGACCGCUUGGCAGCCCUGCUGGCCAUGGCUGUUUCUUCUUUGUGCUUCCCGCGUGCCUCCCCAGUAGCCCUCACCUGCAUACCAACCCCUCCAUUACCCACGUUGGGGCUGGCAUGAGCUGCUUCCCUGAGAGGACAUGAGAGGGAGGGGGGGUCCUUGUACCCUCUCCCACCCUGGUGUUUGGGCACCUGCGUGGGAUGCACAUGGAUGACAGAAUCAAGGCGCCAGGAUGGGCAUUCUGCCCUGGAUAGAGGCUCUACCCUCCUCCCCCAGUGCCUGCCUAGUGCCAGUUUGGUAGUCCCCCUUUCUGGCCCCUUGGAGCCCACACACGUUUCAUCUUUUUCCCCUCUGAGAGCAAGAAGAGACAUGGCAUGUUCUCUGGGACCCUGGAAUCCUAGGUACCCACAUGUGUGCCAAAGCCUACCCCACCUGGCAGGUGUCCCACA